UUAGAAUAGCGCACGUCGUCGUUUGGUAGCGAUUUCGACUGCAUUCCAAGGCGCGUGUUAGUCACACUCUCCGCCACCGUUUUGCUCGCGGAGUCGCCAUUACUACACAGAGCCAAGCCAAAGUCCGGUGAUAAUUUGGCAAAACCAUAACCGGACCUAGUGGGCGUUGCUUUCCCAGGAAGCUGAGCGCUGGCUAGUGAACACAAAGGAAACUCGCUUGAAUGGCGUUGGAUCAGUGCCAAACUCAGCCAAAGUAUAGUUUAGGUGCAUUCUAAUAUGUUUGAUGUUUCGAAGAGUAUGUACUUGGUAGUUGGUGUGACGUUUAGCUUCACAAUCGUAACUAUUAUCGUUUUUCAUCAAAGCCAGCAUACAAGAUAGAUGCAGAUUGUUUUCGAAA